AUUGAACGCUGGCGGCAGGCCUAACACAUGCAAGUCGAACGAGUGGCGGACGGGUGAGUAAUGUCUGGGAAACUGCCUGAUGGAGGGGGAUAACUACUGGAAACGGUAGCUAAUACCGCAUACCAUCGGAUGUGCCCAUAUGGGAUUAGCUAGUAGGUGGGGUAAAGGCUCACCUAGGCGACGAUCCCUAGCUGGUCUGAGAGGAUGACCAGCCACACUGGAACUGAGACACGGUCCAGACACCUACGGAAGGCAGCAGUGGGGAAUAUUGCAGAAUGGGCGAAAGCCUGAUGAAGCCAUGCCGCGUGUAUGAAGAAGGCAUUAGGGUUGUAAAGGACUUUCAGCGGGGAGGCGUUACCCGAAGAAGAAGCACCGGCUAACUCCGUGCCAGCAGACGCGGUAAUUC
rnacentral:rRNA from 1 species